ensembl:lncRNA
GGUUGUGAGGUUUGUUGUCAGAGGAGGGGAGGUUAUUGGUUCCUCUGUGGUUGUGAGGUUUACUGUCAGAGGAGGGGAGGUUGUUGGUUCCUCUGUGGUUGUGAGGUUUACUGUCAGAGGAGGGGAGGUUGUUGGUUCCUCUGUGGUUGUGAGGUUUGUUGUUAGAGGAGGAGAGUUUGUUGGUUCCUCUGUGGUUGUGAGGUUUGUUGUUAGAGGAGGAGAGUUUGUUGGUUCCUCUGUGGUUGUGAGGUUUGUUGUCAGAGGAGGGGAGGUUAUUG